rnacentral:rRNA from 1 species
CCUACGGGAGGCAGCAGUAGGGAAUCUUCCGCAAUGGACGAAAGUCUGACGGAGCAACGCCGCGUGAGCGAUGAAGGCCUUCGGGUCGUAAAGUUCUGUUGUCAGGGAAGAACAAGUACCGGAGUAACUGCCGGUACCUUGACGGUACCUGACCAGAAAGCCACGGCUAACUACGUGCCAGCAGCCGCGGUAAUACGUAGGUGGCAAGCGUUGUCCGGAAUUAUUGGGCGUAAAGCGCGCGCAGGCGGUUCCUUAAGUCUGAUGUGAAAGCCCCCGGCUCAACCGGGGAGGGUCAUUGGAAACUGGGGAACUUGAGUGCAGAAGAGGAGAGCGGAAUUCCACGUGUAGCGGUGAAAUGCGUAGAGAUGUGGAGGAACACCAGUGGCGAAGGCGGCUCUCUGGUCUGUAACUGACGCUGAGGCGCGAAAGCGUGGGGAGCGAACAGGAUUAGAUACCCUGGUAGUCCACGCCGUAAACGAUGAGUGCUAAGUGUUAGAGGGUUUCCGCCCUUUAGUGCUGCAGCAAACGCAUUAAGCACUCCGCCUGGGGAGUACGGCCGCAAGGCUGAAACUCAAAGGAAUUGACGG